rnacentral:rRNA from 1 species
AUACGCUUUUUGCUAUGCAUGUCCAGAAUGUAUACAAACUUUACAACUUUCAGCAACGGAUCUCUUGGCUCUCGCAUCGAUGAAGAACGCAGCGAAUUGCGAUAAGUAAUGUGAAUUGCAGAUUUCNAGUGAAUCAUCGAAUCUUUGAACGCACCUUGCGCUCCUUGGUAUUCCGAGGAGCAUGCCUGUNUGAGUGUCAUCGAAUUCUCAACCAUGUCUUGAAUUAGGCAUGGCUUGGACUUGGGGGGUUGCUGGCACACGUUGUCAGCUCUCCUGAAAUGCAUUAGUGAUGUUCAGCAAGCCUGAACGUGCACGGCCUUUUCGACGUGAUAACGAUCGUCGUGGGCUGGAGCGUAGGGUGAGCAGUGAAUCGCUUCUAAUCUAUACCUCAGUUACUAGUCAGUCGUGAGACUGACGAACGCGCGAGGCUUGAUCUUGGACCCCAAGCCUUAGUUACUAGUCGGUCGUAGAGGCCGAUGAACGCGCAGGGUUAGGACCAUUUGAACUCUUGACCUCAAAUCAGGUAGGACUACCCGCUGAACUUAAGCAUAUCAAUAAGCGGAGGAAAAGAAACUAACAAGGAUUCCCCUAGUAACUGCGAGUGAAGCGGGAAAAGCUCAAAUUUUGAAUCUGGCGGUCUUUGCAGGCCGUCCGAGUUGUAAUCUAGAGAAGCGUCUUCCGCGC